rnacentral:rRNA from 1 species
GACGAACGCUGGCGGCGUGCUUAACACAUGCAAGUCGAACGGUAAGGCCCUUCGGGGUACACGAGUGGCGAACGGGUGAGUAACACGUGGGUGAUCUGCCCUGCACUUCGGGAUAAGCCUGGGAAACCGGGUCUAAUACCGGAUAGGACCACUGCCUGCAUGGGUGGUGGUGGAAAGCUUUUGCGGUGUGGGAUGGGCCCGCGGCCUAUCAGCUUGUUGGUGGGGUGAUGGCCUACCAAGGCGACGACGGGUAGCCGGCCUGAGAGGGUGACCGGCCACACUGGGACUGAGAUACGGCCCAGACUCCUGCGGGAGGCAGCAGUGGGGAAUAUUGCACAAUGGGCGCAAGCCUGAUGCAGCGACGCCGCGUGAGGGAUGACGGCCUUCGGGUUGUAAACCUCUUUCAGCACCGACGAAGCGCAAGUGACGGUAGGUGCAGAAGAAGGACCGGCCAACUACGUGCCAGCAGCCGCCGUAAAAC